AUUGAACGCUGGCGGCAUGCCUUACACAUGCAAGUCGAACGGUAACAGGUUAAGCUGACGAGUGGCGAACGGGUGAGUAAUGUAUCGGAACGUGCCCAGUCGUGGGGGAUAACUGCUCGAAAGAGCAGCUAAUACCGCAUACGACCUGAGGGUGAAAACGGGGGAUCGCAAGACCUCGCGCGAUUGGAGCGGCCGAGAUCAGAUUAGGUAGUUGGUGGGGUAAAGGCCUACCAAGCCUACGAUCUGUAGCUGGUCUGAGAGGACGACCAGCCACACUGGGGCUGAGACACGCCCAGACUCCUACGGGAGGCAGCAGUGGGGAAUUUUGGACAAUGGACGCAAGUCUGAUCCAGCCAUGCCGCGUGCGGGAAGAAGGCCUUCGGGUUGUAAACCGCUUUUGUCAGGGAAGAAAAGGUUCUGGUUAAUACCUGGGACUCAUGACGGUACCUGAAGAAUAAGCACCGGCUAACUACGUGCCAGCAGCCGCCGUAAAAC
rnacentral:rRNA from 1 species